CCUACGGGAGGCAGCAGUGGGGAAUAUUGGGCAAUGGGCGCAAGCCUGACCCAGCAACGCCGCGUGAAGGAAGAAGGCUUUCGGGUUGUAAACUUCUUUUCUGAGGGACGAAGAAAGUGACGGUUCCUCAGUAAUAAGCUACGGCUAACUACGCGCCAGCAGCCGCGGCAAUACGGAGGCGGCAAUCGUCAUCCGGAUGUAUUGGGUGGAAAGGGUGUGUAGGCGGGAAAGCAAGUCAGAUGUGAAAUCCCAGGGCUCAACCCUGAGCCUGCAUUUGAAACUGUUUUGCUUGAGUGCUGGAGAGGCAGUCGGAAUUCCGUGUGUAGCGGUGAAAUGCGUAGAUAUACGGAGGAACACCAGUGGCGAAGGCGGAUUGCUGGACAGUAACUGACGCUGAGGCGCGAAAGCGUGGGGAGCAAACAGGAUUAGAUACCCGUGUAGUC
rnacentral:rRNA from 1 species